UGUGUAGGCGGAUGCCUAAGUACCUUGUGAAAUCCCACGGCUUAACCGUGGAACUGCUGGGUAUACUGGGUGUCUUGAGCCACUUAGGGGCUACCGGAACAAAUGGUGGAGCGGUGAAAUGCGUAGAUAUCAUUUGGAACGCCAAUGGUGAAAACAGGUAGCUGGGAGUGUGCUGACGCUGAGACACGAAAGCCAGGGGAGCAAACGGGAUUAGAUACCCCGGUAGUCCUGGCCGUAAACGAUGUCGACUAGAUCGUGGUGGCUCUGACGCCAUCAUGGUCGAAGCAAAAGUGCUAAGUCGACCGCCUGGGAAGUACGGUCGCAAGGCUAAA
rnacentral:rRNA from 1 species